AUACUGUUUUGUAUGAGGAAAGAUGUAGACGUUCUGUAAUAAUGUAAGAAGGAUAGCCGGGUAGUGGUGGCGUUGGAGGUUUCGCUCGCUCAAUCACGGCAAACACCAUGUAAAACUUAGCCACAGUUCCACGUCCGAAUAGCUUCCGUAAUGAAGAUACUCAACAGAGACACAUGUUUCAGUAUUGGGGACAAACAUUUUUUAGGAAGAGAGGUUUAUUCUGAUAUAAAGUAAGCACUAUGCGGAGUUUAUUUAUAAUACCUUGACAGAUACAGACUUCUUCCCUGUUCAUUGGACAACUGUAACAGAAUAUAAUGUGAUGCCAUCAUUUACAACGGAACCUUUCAACACCAUAAAUGGUAUAUUCGAUCCGAAAGAAUUUGAGAUAUUAACAGAAUAAUAAGAAGCAAAAUACCAA